ensembl:lncRNA
AGAGAUUGGAGAGGUAGAUCCUCUGCCCGAUAGUGGCAACAGCCUGGCUCUAAUUAGAUAUGCCAGGCGGGCUGUGAGCAGUCACUCUCCACAGCACGCCGAGAGAGGAGGCAGCCUGAGAGAGGAGGACAGAGGAAACCUAUCUGCUCAUCUGUCUGUCCAGCGCCUUCCUCUGGGCAUCCACAAGGUGCAUCUGACUGGCCCUGCGUUCAUGGGUGGCAACACCUCCGCAGAGGAGAAUGGAGCAGAGAUGAAGAUGAGAAGGAGGAGGAGGAGGAGGAGGAAAAAAAAACAUGCUGCAGGGAUCAUUGAGCUGAAGGAUUACGAGGGGCAUGAAGAGGAUUUCAGCUGACUGGUUUCAUCCUUCUGUUCCACGUUUUGGAGUUAAGCACCUGACUGCUGAAGGACACCCAGCCUUUACCUGCA